rnacentral:pre_miRNA from 1 species
UAUUUAAAAUUUUAUCUAUUUCUAUUGCUAAAAACUAGUGUAACUAAUGGAUUAACCAAAAUAGUUACACAAAAUGUGCCACAUGUACUCUAUCUUGACAUACAAAGACUGAUUUUUAACAAUAAAAAUAGAUAUAAUUUUUAAUA